GUGAACUAUGCCUGGCCAGGACGAAGUCAGGGGAAACCCUGAUGGAGGUCCGUAGCGAUUCUGACGUGCAAAUCGAUCGUCGGAGCUGGGUAUAGGGGCGAAAGACUAAUCGAACCAUCUAGUAGCUGGUUCCCUCCGAAGUUUCCCUCAGGAUAGCUGGCGCUCGUAUAUACGAGUCCCAUCCGGUAAAGCGAAUGAUUAGAGGCCUUGGGGUCGAAACGAUCUCAACCUAUUCUCAAACUUUAAAUGGGUGGGAUCCGCGGCUUGCUUGAAUUGGUGAAGCCGCGGUCUCGGAUCGGAGUGCCCAGUGGGCCACUUUUGGUAAGCAGAACUGGCGCUGUGGGAUGAACCAAACGCCGGGUUAAGGCGCCCGAAUAAACGCUCAUUCGAAACCAUGAAAGGUGUUGGUUGCUUAAGACAGCAGGACGGUGGCCAUGGAAGUCGGAAUCCGCUAAGGAGUGUGUAACAACUCACCUGCCGAAGCAACUAGCCCUGAAAAUGGAUGGCGCUGAAGCGUUUUGCCUAUACCCGGCCGCCGGAGGCAAAGGGCGCGCCCCCUCGGGGGCGCGUCGCCAAGCCCCGGUGAGUAGGAGGGUCGCGACGGUGAGCGCAGAAGGGUCUGGGCGUGAGCCUGCCUGGAGCCGCCGUCGGUGCAGAUCUUGGUGGUAGUAGCA
rnacentral:rRNA from 1 species